UUUUACUAAAACAGAAAUGAAAGGCUUUUUUUUGUUUUGUUUUUGUUUUUGUUUUUUUCUGGCCUUGCCUUUACUAAAACUAUCCAGCUCAUUUUACAGUGCUGCAGUUUUUUAAUCUAAAGUAAUGUGUACUGUUCCUUCAGGCCUUCUCAGAAGAUACCUCCUGAGGCCUGAUUAUACUUUUCUUGGAUAAAUUGUUUUCAGGUACCUAGGAGAAAGUCAUACAUAUAAUGAGGUCACUGUAAUAUGAUAAUAACAUUUCUCCCUCUUAAAACUAACAUUUCAAAAUAAAGUCUAUUUGUUUGAAAAUUAUUAAUAACUUCAAAAAAGUCAUUUAGCUCCAGGUUUAACCUGUGCAUAACAUUGUUGUAAGUUAAUAAACCUUUUUUUUUUUUCUUUUUAGCCUGCUGGGCAGCAUAUGGAGUUCCUGAGUCAGGGCUCAGAUGCAAGCUGCAGUUGCAACCUAAGCCACAGCUGUGGCAAUGCUGAUUCCUUAACCCACUGUGCUGGGUGGGGGAUUGAACCUGUGUUUCAGGGCUCCCAAGAUGCUGCCGAUCCCAUCGUGCCACAGCAGGAACUCCAUAAGUUAAUAAAUCUUUGGAGUUGCUGUCGUGGCGCAGCAGAAACGAAUCUGACUAGGCAUGAGGUUGUGGCUUCGAUCCCUGGCCUUGCUUAGCGGGUUAAGGAUCCGGAGUUGCCAUGAGCUGUGGUGUAGGACCUGGCAUUGCUGUGGAUGGGCAUAGGCUGGCAGUUGUAGCUCCAAUUAUAUCCCUAGCCUGGGAACUUCCAUAUGCCGUGAGUGCGGCCCUAAAAAGACAAAAAAAAAAAAAAAAAAAAGU
rnacentral:lncRNA from 1 species